GUAGGGCGGGACACGUGGUAUCCUGUCUGAAUAUGGGGGGACCAUCCUCCAAGGCUAAAUACUCCUGACUGACCGAUAGUGAACCAGUACCGUGAGGGAAAGGCGAAAAGAACCCCGGCGAGGGGAGUGAAAAAGAACCUGAAACCGUGUACGUACAAGCAGUAGGAGCCCACUAGUUGGGUGACUGCGUACCUUUUGUAUAAUGGGUCAGCGACUUAUAUUCUGUAGCAAGGUUAACCGAAUAGGGGAGCCGCAGGGAAACCGAGUCUUAACUGGGCGUUAAGUUGCAGGGUAUAGACCCGAAACCCGGUGAUCUAGCCAUGGGCAGGUUGAAGGUUGGGUAACACUAACUGGAGGACCGAACCGACUAAUGUUGAAAAAUUAGCGGAUGACUUGUGGCUGGGGGUGAAAGGCCAAUCAAACCGGGAGAUAGCUGGUUCUCCCCGAAAGCUAUUUAGGUAGCGCCUCGUGAAUUCAUCUUCGGGGGUAGAGCACUGUUUCGGCUAGGGGGUCAUCCCGACUUACCAACCCGAUGCAAACUACGAAUACCGAAGAAUGUUAUCACGGGAGACACACGGCGGGUGCUAACGUCCGUCGUGAAGAGGGAAACAACCCAGACCGCCAGCUAAGGUCCCAAAGUCAUGGUUAAGUGGGAAACGAUGUGGGAAGGCCCAGACAGCCAGGAUGUUGGCUUAGAAGCAGCCAUCAUUUAAAGAAAGCGUAAUAGCUCACUGGUCGAGUCGGCCUGCGCGGAAGAUGUAACGGGGCUAAACCAUGCACCGAAGCUGCGGCAGCGACACUAUGUGUUGUUGGGUAGGGGAGCGUUCUGUAAGCCGUUGAAGGUGGCCUGUGAGGGUUGCUGGAGGUAUCAGAAGUGCGAAUGCUGACAUAAGUAACGAUAAUGCGGGUGAAAAACCCGCACGCCGGAAGACCAAGGGUUCCUGUCCAACGUUAAUCGGGGCAGGGUGAGUCGACCCCUAAGGCGAGGCCGAAAGGCGUAGUCGAUGGGAAACAGGUUAAUAUUCCUGUACUUGGUGUUACUGCGAAGGGGGGACGGAGAAGGCUAUGUUGGCCGGGCGACGGUUGUCCCGGUUUAAGCAUGUAGGCGGAUGUUCCAGGUAAAUCCGGAACGUUA
rnacentral:rRNA from 1 species